UGGGGGAUAUUGCACAAUGGGCGAAAGCCUGAUGCAGCGACGCCGCGUGGGGGAUGAAGGCCUUCGGGUUGUAAACUUCUUUUGCUCUGAACAAGGCGCACCAUGGGGUGUGUUGAGUGUAGGGGUUGAUUAGCGCCGGCUAACUACGUGCCAGCAGCCGCGGUAAUACGUCGGGCGCGAGCGUUGUCCGGAAUUAUUGGGCGUAAAGGGCUUGUAGGUGGCUGGUUGCGUCUGUCGUGAAAGCUCAUGGCUUAACUGUGGGUUUGCGGUGGGUACGGGCUGGCUUGAGUGCAGUAGGGGAGGCUGGAAUUCCUGGUGUAGCGGUGGAAUGCGCAGAUAUCAGGAGGAAUACCGGUGGCGAAGGCGGGUCUCUGGGCUGUUACUGACACUGAGGAGCGAAAGCAUGGGGAGCGAACAGG
rnacentral:rRNA from 1 species